CCUUCGAUAGCUCAGUUGGAAGAGCGUGAGACUGUAAUCGGGUAUUCCGUCACAAAAAGUGGCAUCUCAAGGUCGCUGGUUCGAUCCCGGCUCGAAGGA